rnacentral:rRNA from 1 species
GACGAACGCUGGCGGCGUGCCUAAUACAUGCAAGUCGAACGCUGAAGGAGGAGCUUGCUCUUCUGGAUGAGUUGCGAACGGGUGAGUAACGCGUAGGUAACCUGCCUGGUAGCGGGGGAUAACUAUUGGAAACGAUAGCUAAUACCGCAUAAGAGUAGAUGUUGCAUGACAUUUACUUAAAAGGUGCAAUUGCAUCACUACCAGAUGGACCUGCGUUGUAUUAGCUAGUUGGUGGGGUAACGGCUUACCAAGGCGACGAUACAUAGCCGACCUGAGAGGGGGAUCGGCCACACUGGGACUGAGACACGGCCCAGACUCCUACGGGAGGCAGCAGUAGGGAAUCGUCGGCAAGGGACGGAAGUCUGACCGAGCAACGCCGCGGGAGGGAAGAAGGGUGUCGGAUCGUAAAGCUCUGUUGUAAGAGAAGAACGAGUGUGAGAGUGGAAAGUUCACACUGUGACGGUAACUGAUCAGAAAGGGACGGCUAACUACGUG